rnacentral:miRNA from 1 species
UUGAUUUGAUCAGAUGGUUUU